GAUGAACGCUGGCGGCGUGCUUAACACAUGCAAGUCGAACGAACCUUCGGGUUAGUGGCGGACGGGUGAGUAACGCGUGGGAAUCUGCCCUCAGGAGGGGGAUAACGGUUGGAAACGACCGCUAAUACCCCAUAUGCCGAGAGGUGAAAUGAAUUUCGCCUGAGGAUGAGCCCGCGUCUGAUUAGCUUGUUGGUGUGGUAAUGGCUCACCAAGGCAUCGAUCAGUAGCUGGUCUGAGAGGAUGAUCAGCCACACUGGGACUGAGACACGGCCCAGACUCCUACGGGAGGCAGCAGUGGGGAAUUUUCCGCAAUGGGCGAAAGCCUGACGGAGCAACGCCGCGUGAGGGACGAAGGCCUCUGGGCUGUAAACCUCUUUUCUCAAGGAAGAAGAUAUGACGGUACUUGAGGAAUAAGCCACGGCUAAUUCCGUGCCAGCAGCCGCGGUAAUACGGGAGUGGCAAGCGUUAUCCGGAAUUAUUGGGCGUAAAGCGUCCGCAGGCGGCCCUUCAAGUCUGCUGUUAAAGCGUGGAGCUUAACUCCAUCAUGGCAGUGGAAACUGACUGGCUUGAGUAUGGUAGGGGCAGAGGGAAUUCCCGGUGUAGCGGUGAAAUGCGUAGAUAUCGGGAAGAACACCAGUGGCGAAGGCGCUCUGCUGGGCCAUUACUGACGCUCAUGGACGAAAGCCAGGGGAGCGAAAGGGAUUAGAUACCCCUGUAGUCCUGGCCGUAAACGAUGAACACUAGGUGUCGGGGGAAUCGACCCCUUCGGUGUCGUAGCUAACGCGUUAAGUGUUCCGCCUGGGGAGUACGCACGCAAGUGUGAAACUCAAAGGAAUUGACGGGGGCCCGCACAAGCGGUGGAGUAUGUGGUUUAAUUCGAUGCAACGCGAAGAACCUUACCAGGGCUUGACAUCCUGCGAACCUUUAAGAAAUUAGAGGGUGCCUUCGGGAACGCAGUGACAGGUGGUGCAUGGCUGUCGUCAGCUCGUGUCGUGAGAUGUUGGGUUAAGUCCCGCAACGAGCGCAACCCACGUUUUUAGUUGCCAGCAUUUAGUUGGGCACUCUAGAAAGACCGCCGGUGAUAAACCGGAGGAAGGUGUGGAUGACGUCAAGUCAUCAUGCCCCUUACGUCCUGGGCUACACACGUACUACAAUGCUACGGACAAAGGGCAGCAAACUCGCGAGAGCUAGCAAAUCCCAUAAACCGUGGCUCAGUUCAGAUCGUAGGCUGCAACUCGCCUACGUGAAGUAGGAAUCGCUAGUAAUCGCAGGUCAGCAUACUGCGGUGAAUACGUUCCCGGGCCUU
rnacentral:rRNA from 1 species